rnacentral:rRNA from 1 species
AUUGAACGCUGGCGGCAGGCCUAACACAUGCAAGUCGAACGAGUGGCGGACGGGUGAGUAAUGUCUGGGGAACUGCCCGAUGGAGGGGGAUAACUACUGGAAACGGUAGCUAAUACCGCAUACCAUCGGAUGUGCCCAGAUGGGAGUAGCUUGUAGGUGAGGUAACGGCUCACCUAGGUGACGCUCCCUAGCGGGUCUGAGAGGAUGACCAGCAACACUGGGACGGAGACACGGUCCAGACUCCUACGGGAGGCAGCAGUGGGGAGUAUUGCACAAUGGGCGCAAGCCUGAUGCAGCCAUGCCGCGUGUAUGAAGAAGGCCUGAGGGUUGUAAAGUACUUUCAGCUGGGAGGCGUUACCGGCAGAAGAAGCACCGGCUAACUCCGUGCCAGCAGCCGCGGUAAUAC